UCAGCCAUCCUCGAUUCACCAGAUUUUUCCUCAAAAUUACAAGAAACGUCAAUUCUCUAAUUCUCAAUUGUUCAUUUUUGUCGUCGGCGUUGUUUAACCAGGAUCUAUGUUCUGUUUUAGUCGGAUUGAUGUUUUUAUGGUCGGAAUUCUUAUGGGCUUCAUUGGACAGUGGGCAGAAGACGAAAUCGAAACUUUUGAUCAGUAGAACUGCAGGUCUUUGGGGAAGGGUACUUGAUGGGAAAGACAUAGGAGUGAAGAAUCUACCUCCGGGGAAAAAACGAGUGUAAGAACGAGGCCAAGUUGGUAUCUAAAGUCCAUCAUUGAAAUGUAGUUAAUCUCUGGAGUUAUUUCACACACGGAGACAUUAAACUCUUGGUCUAUGAGUACGUCGCAAAUGAGAACCUCGACAAGAUCCUUUUCAGUAAGUUUCCUUUUCAUUCUCUCAGCAUUACUUUAAUCCAGCUUUAGUGAUAUACUAGUGUAGCUUUAGUGAUCUUGCAGUGUAGUUUCUGUUCUUUUCUCUAUCUUUACAGUGCCUCUUCUUCUCGUGGUUUUGGGGUAAGGUCUUGGUUUUGUGAUGCUCCAUGAUCUCUGUGCUUUCCUCGGGUUGAUGUGGGAAAAGCUGGAACCAUUGCAGGGUAAAUCAUCGUGGAAGAUGAAACCGAUUAUGGCUCUCAUGGGAGUGACGCUCUUUUUCUUCCGGCGAAUUUCGCAGAGGUGAGUCGAGGAGGACAAGAACUGGGUCGACCCAUCUUCAUCGACAAGGAACCGUAUCAGGCUAUCAGCAAUAACCCGAAGUUUAAGCGGAGUAGUGAGAUAUCAAGUUUAUUGCAGAGGUAAGCUGAAGAGACUACAAAAUGCACAUACAGUUUUAUAAUCGGAUCAGACUAAAUAUAGAAAAAGAUUUUAAAAUAUGCUAUAUUUAAUUAUGUACUCAAUUUUGAUUUGUGUAGUUUUCAUUAUCUUCUUUAGAUAUGUGACACGUGCUCUUUUCAUCUUUGAAUAAUUCCCUUUA